rnacentral:lncRNA from 1 species
AACUUCAGAGAAGGCCGCGGAUACAGGAUUUAGGGAACCCGUUCAUCUAGUUGGAAGUACACAAAGUUUCCAGGUCCCCCACUAGAGACAUCAUCUUAGGAACUCUGGGAAUUUCAUCUGCAAACUCAGGAGAUGCAAAGUGGCUGGAUGGAAAUUCUGAAGCAUUGUUCAACGACGACUAAGACUAAUGUCUCUGGCUAAUCGAGUUAUUAUUAGCCUCGGGAGCGUGGAAACUGAACUGUCACUGCUGAAAGAGAAAAUGUAAGCGACAGCUGUCCCUCUUCGGGCUUUGGCUAGCUUUCAGGCCAGGAUCCCCAAGCUCCCGAACCUACUGCUGCUCCCAUUCCUUCGUGGGCGGCUGCCCGACUCUCCCCCCUCCCCCAAGCCAUAGGACAAGGGGUCUAGUCCUGGAUCCUAGCUGGUCCGCAGGGACACCUUCUGCAGGGUUUUAGAAAUCUGGGCUGAAAAUACUGUUUGUUGAAAGUAUUCUGAAGCCACUAAACCGAGUUAUGAGUGUUGUGUUUGUGCGCGUGCUUACAGGAUUUUGACAACAGCUGUUCCCCCGGGCUGUUUUGCACUGUUGAAAUCUUGGCACUUAAUACAAAAUGUGAAGCUGUUUUCUCCCUCUUACCGGUCUGUUAAAAUACACACAUUGACAUCCGCCUUGA